AAAAAAUAAAGAAGUUUUUUUUUGAAAUUUUUUAAAUAAAUUUGGCUUAAAUUGUUCGCAUUUCGUGAAAGGAUCUUUUGGAUUUUAUAUCCACAAAAUUAUAUGUAACAGGAUAAUAAAAUAAUUAACGCCAAUAUCACAAAUUUCAACUCAAAAGUAGGCAGAAAGUGUUUUUAUUUACCCAGCGGCAACAAAAGUCAAAGAAAAAGAAAAUCGUUUGUUUUUAUUUACAAAAAGCACACAAACACACCUACGUCAAUUUGAUAUAUUUGACAAAAUUCUUCCUAGCGACGAAACCUCCAGGCACAAAAUCUUCGCCUGGGAAGGCUUCGUCCACAAUCGUGCCUUCUUCGGCGUAAAACCAAACCUUCAGGGAAAGCUUUAGGUUGCAAUACUAAGGUCUUAGAGACGAGGAGAAAAGUGUGAAAAGUGUGGGGAAAAUGUCAA